GGGCGGUUAGCUCAGCUGGUUAGAGCGCUACCCUCACAUGGUAGAGGUCACAGGUUCGAUCCCUGUACCGCCCA
rnacentral:tRNA from 6 species